rnacentral:rRNA from 1 species
UACGGAGGAGGCAAGCGUUAUCCGGAAUUAUUGGGCGUAAAGCGUCCGCAGGUGGCGAUUCAAGUCUGCUGUCAAAGGCCGGGGCUUAACCCCGGGAAGGCAGUGGAAACUGAAUAGCUAGAGUGCGGGAGGGGCAGAGGGAAUUCCCGGUGUAGCGGUGAAAUGCGUAGAGAUCGGGAAGAACACCAGUGGCGAAAGCGCUCUGCUGGGCCUGCACUGACACUGAGGGACGAAAGCUAGGGGAGCGAAAAGG